rnacentral:rRNA from 1 species
AUUGAACGCUGGCGGAAUGCUUUACACAUGCAAGUCGAGCGGCAGCGCGGGGGCAACCCUGGCGGCGAGCGGCGAACGGGUGAGUAAUGCAUCGGAACGUACCCUGGAGUGGGGGAUAACGCCGCGAAAGCGGCGCUAAUACCGCAUAUGCUCUGAGGAGGAAAGUGGGGGGACCGCAAGGCCUCACGCUCUGGGAGCGGCCGAUGUCCGAUUAGCUAGUUGGUGGGGUAAAGGCUUACCAAGGCGACGAUCGGUAGCUGGUCUGAGAGGAUGAUCAGCCACACUGGGACUGAGACACGGCCCAGACUCCUACGGGAGGCAGCAGUGGGGAAUCUUGCGCAAUGGGCGGAAGCCUGACGCAGCAACGCCGCGUGCGGGAUGAAGGCCUCGGUUGUAACGCUUCUAGCAGGGACGAAGUUGACGGUACCUGCAGAAGAAGA